GGUUUGGUCCUGACCUUAAAGUCAAUUAUUUCUUAAUAUACACAUGCAAGUAUCAGCCCUCCUGUGAAAACGCCCUUAAUUUUCCCCAUUAGGGAUAAGGAGCUGGUAUCAGGCACAAAAUAUGCCCAAAACACCUAGCUAUGCCACACCCACAAGGGAACUCAGCAGUGAUUAACAUUAAACAUAAGCGCCAGCUUGAUUUAGUUAAAGAAAAUAGAGCCGGCAAAUCUGGUGCCAGCCGCCGCGGUUACACCACGUGACUCAAAUUGAUUUACAUCGGCGUAAAGCGUGAUUUAAGAGUAUUAAGAUUGAAAUUAAAUUUUAAUUAAGCUGUAACACGCUUGUUUUUAAGAAAACCAAACACGAAAGUUAUUUCAAUUAUCUCCACUUGAAUUCACGACAAUUAGGAUACAAACUGGGAUUAGAUACCCCACUAUGCCUAAUCGUAAACUUUAAUUUACACUAACAUCGCCAGGGAACUACGAGCAAAGCUUAAAACCCAAAGGACUUGACGGUACCCCAAAUCCACCUAGAGGAGCCUGUCCUAUAAUCGAUAACCCCCGUUAAACCUCACCACUUCUAGCUUAUCAGCCUGUAUACCUCCGUCGUCAGCUUACCUCGUGAGCGAAUCAUAGUGAGCCUAAUGCUUAUACACCAACACGUCAGGUCAAGGUGCAGUAUAUGAAGUGGGAAGAGAUGGGCUACACUUUCUAAUUUAGAACAUACGAAAAAUUAUUUAUGAAAACUAAUUUGAAGGCGGAUUUAGAAGUAAAAAGAAAUUAGUGUAUUCUUUUUAACCCGGCACUGGGGUGUGUACACACCGCCCGUCACCCUCUUCAAGGCCUAUUUAUAGUAUUUAACUAAAUUUGCUAUUCAGAAGAGGCAAGUCGUAACAUGGUAAGUGUACCGGAAGGUGUGCUUGGAG
rnacentral:ncRNA from 1 species